AGACGGGGGGCGGAGGUUUUCCUGUGAGAUCAGCCUACGAGCUGGGGGCGGAGAUUCUUCUUGCUCUGUUGCGGGGUGCUGCGGCAGGAGUUUCGGGGUGCCACAGAGGAAGAAAACGGAGAGGGACGUGCGCGGGCGGGUGUGGCAGCAACAGGAGACCGAUUCAGCAGCUGAUGCGGGCUGGCCACAUUGCUAUCAGUUGCAUUGCGCCAUAGGAGUGAUAUCCACCUGGAUAAUCGUCGUCUUUAUUUGAUUUCCUUGGAGAGUAGGCCAGAUUUUUCCACCACUGCUGGGUCAAAGUUGGAGUCACUAGAAGAGGAGGGAGGUGAAUUUAGAAGAGGUGCAGAGUUUGAAGUAUCAAGACCAUAUCUGUGUCAUAAAAGGAAUUUGUUGCACGCUCAGUUUGUUGAUUUGCUCUUUUAUUGACGAAAGCCUUUAGAGAUAUAAAUUUUCUCCUAAGUACUGCUUUGGCUGUAUCCCACAAAUUU